rnacentral:tRNA from 1 species
CGGUAGCUCAGUUGGUAGAGCAUACGACUGAAAAUCGUAGUGUCGGUGGUUCGAUUCCUCCCCGA